GAUGAAGAACGUAGCGAACGUGCGAAACGUAAUGUGAAUUGCAGAAUUCAGUGAAUCAUCGAAUCUUUGAACGCAUCUUGCGCUCCUUGGUAUUCCGAGGAGCAUGCCUGUUUGAGUGUCGUGAAUACUCUCAACUUCAACCCUUUUUUCGGAAAGGGAGGAAGGUUGGACUUGGGUGUUUGUUGAAGUGCGAGCUUCGACUCAUCCUAAAUGCAUUAGCGAUCUGCCUCGAUCACACACAAUGUGAUAAUUAAAACUAAAGCAUUGUUUAAUGAUCAAGUCGAGACUGCUUCUAACUGUCGCAAGACAAUAACGUGCAUACAUUUGUGCAUGUCAUUUGACCUCAAAUCAGGUAGGACUACCCGCUGAACUUAAGCAUAUCAAUAAGCGGAGA
rnacentral:misc_RNA from 1 species